rnacentral:rRNA from 1 species
UAAACUUUAUGGUCAAGUUACUAAGGGCACACGGGGGAUGCCUUGGCGCGGAUAGGCGAUGAAGGACGUGGCAAGCUGCGAUAAGCUCCGGGGAGCCGCUAAACAGGCUUUGAUCCGGAGAUCUCCGAAUGGGGAAACCCAGCCGGGUAAACCCCGGCUAUCCUUACCUGAAUCCAUAGGGUAAGGAGGCGAACCCAGGGAAGUGAACCAUCUCAGUACCUGGAGGAAAAGAAAGCAACCGCGAUUCCCUCAGUAGCGGCGAGCGAAAGGGGAACAGCCCAAACCGCAUUCAUGUUAAAGCUCGUGGGCGUUGUGAAUGCGGGGUAGCGGGGCUCGAUCAGGUGCUGCCACGACGGCACCAGGGAGUUAAAAAAGAUUAAUCUAGCCGAAUACCAUUGAAUGGGUAACCAGAGAGGGUGAAAGUCCCGUAGGCGAAAGAUUAAUCUCUCCCGAUCGAGUUCCCAAGUACCACGGGACACGUGGAACCCUGUGGGAAUCUGGGAGGACCAUCUCCCAAGGCUAAAUACUCAUCCGCGACCGAUAGUGAACCAGUACCGUGAGGGAAAGGUGAAAAGCACCCCUGUUAGGGGAGUGAAAUAGGACCUGAAACCGUGUGCUUACAAGCAGUCGGAGCCUCCGCAAGGGGGUGACGGCGUGCCUUUUGCUUAAUGAGCCGGCUAGUUAUUCUGCGCGGCGAGGUUAACCUUCUUAAGAAGGGGAGCCGGAGCGAAAGCGAGUCCGAAUAGGGCGCUAAGUCGCGCGGAAUAGACGCGAAGCUGAGUGAUCUACCCUUGGCCAGGAUGAACUGCGGGUAAAACCGCAGGGAGGUCCGAACCGGUGUUGGUUGAAAACAGCUCGGAUGAGCUGAGGGUAGGGGUGAAAGGCCAAUCAAACUCAGGGAUAGCUCGUUCUCCCCGAAAUAGCUUUAGGGCUAGCCUCGCAGGUUUGGUGAGGGAGGUAGAGCACUGGAUGGACUAGGGGGCUGAAAGGCCUUCCGAAUCCAACCAAACUCCGAAUGCCCUCAACCAUACUGCGGGAGUAAGACUGUGGGGGCUAAGCUCCAUAGUCAAAAGGGAAACAGCCCAGACCGCCAGCUAAGGUCCAUAAAUGCAAGCUAAGUGGGCAAGGAUGUAAGGACGCUGAGACAACCAGGAGGUUGGCUUAGAAGCAGCCAUCCUUUAAAGAAAGCGUAACAGCUCACUGGUCAAGUGUCCUUGCGCCGACAAUGUAACGGGGUAAGCUUGCUACCGAAGCUGCGGAUCGUCAGAACCUUCGGGUUCUGGCGGUGGUAGGGGAGCAUUCCGUGGGCGGUGAAGUAAGACCGUGAGGUCUUGUGGAGCGCACGGAAGAGACUCUGCCGGCAUGAGUAGCGAUAAUUGCGGUAUAAACCCGCAACGCCGUAAGUCUAAGGUUUCCUGGGGAAGGUCAGUCCGCCCAGGGUUAGUCGGUCCCUAAGCUGAGGCCGAAAGGCGUAGGCGAUGGAAAGCAGGUUAAUAUUCCUGCACCACCUGAAAAGCGUUUGGACGAUGGGGGGACGCAGGAGGAUAGGCAUACGCACGUCUGGAGGUGUGCGGCCGCCAGGUAGGGGGAGCCCUCAGGCAAAUCCGGGGGCUCGUUAACCCCGAGCACGGCGGGGAAGCGGGGCUACGGCCCUGUGAACUUGCUGACUCCAAACUGCCGAGAAAAGCCUCUAAGGAGCUUUUCAGGUGACCGUACCGCAAACCGACACAGGUAGACGGGGAGAGAAUCCUCAGGCGCACGUGUGAGCCCUCCCUUAGGAACUCGGCAAUCUAACCCCGUAACUUCGGGAGAAGGGGUGCCCCGGUAGUGUGGUACCUGAUCUUGCGUCAGGGACGCACGAGGGGGUCGCAGAGAAAUGGCCCAGGCGACUGUUUAUUAAAAACACAGGACUCUGCAAAGACAUAAAAUCGAUGUAUAGGGUCUGACGCCUGCCCGGUGCUGGAAGGUUAAGGGGAGGGGUUAUCCCGCUUCGGCGGGAGAAGCUCUGAACCGAAGCCCCAGUAAACGGCGGCCGUAACUAUAACGGUCCUAAGGUAGCGAAAUUCCUUGUCGGGUAAGUUCCGACCCGCACGAAAGGCGUAACGACUUGGGCGCUGUCUCGGGGAGGGGCACGGCGAAAUUGUGGUACCGGUGAAGACGCCGGUUACCUGCCGCUGGACGGAAAGACCCCGGCACCUUAACUGCACCCUAGCAUUGGAUUCUGGGAUAUGAUGCGCAGGAUAGGUGGGAGGCUGUGAAGUCCCGUCUCCGGACGGGAUGGAGCCGUCGGUGAGAUACCACUCUUCAUGUUCUGGGGUUCUAACCUGCACCUCUUAUCGAGGUGGGGGACAGUGCUAGGCGGGUAGUUUGACUGGGGCGGUCGCCUCCUAAAGGGUAACGGAGGCGCCCUAAGGUCCCCUCAGGCUGUUUGGAAAUCAGCCGUUGAGUGCAAAGGCAUAAGGGGGCUUGACUGUGAGACCGACGGGUCGAGCAGGUGGGAAACCAGGGCUUAGUGAUCCGGUGGUCCCGUAUGGAAGGGCCAUCGCUCAUCGGAUAAAAGGUACGCCGGGGAUAACAGGCUUAUCGGGCCCGAGAGCUCACAUCGACGGCCCGGUUUGGCACCUCGAUGUCGGCUCAUCGCAUCCUGGGGCUGAAGCAGGUCCCAAGGGUCCGGCUGUUCGCCGGUUAAAGCGGUACGUGAGCUGGGUUUAGAACGUCGCGAGACAGUUCGGUCCCUAUCCACGGCAGGCGCAGGAGACUUGAGGGGGGCUGUCCCUAGUACGAAAGGACCGGGACGGAUGAACCUCUGGUGUACCAGUUGUGCCGCCAGGCGCAGCGCUGGGUAGCCACGUUCGGAAGCGAUAACCGCUGAAAGCAUCUAAGCGGGAAGCGCGCCCCAAGAUAAGGUCUCCCACCCCGCAAGGGGCUGAAGGGCCCUCGUAGACUACGAGGUUGAUAGGCCGGGUGUGUAAGCGCCGCAAGGCGUUGAGCUAACCGGUACUAAUCGCCCGUGAGACUUGACCAUAA